GGAGAGGUGACUGAGUGGCCGAAAGUGCUCGACUCGAAAUCGAGUGUACGUUCCGCGUACCGUGGGUUCGACUCCCACCCUCUCCGCCA
rnacentral:tRNA from 1 species